UAGAAUCGGCUUUGUCAGAUU
rnacentral:piRNA from 1 species